rnacentral:tRNA from 2 species
GGUUCGAUGGUCUAGUGGUUAGGACAUUGGACUCUGAAUCCAGUAACCCGAGUUCAAUUCUCGGUGGGACCU